UUUAAUCGAAAACUUGCUAAAUGGAUCCAUGCCUGAUUGGAUGCCAAAACAUAAAGCCGCCAUUGAUAUUUCAUACAACAACUUUACAAUUGAUCAAUCAGGACCAUCUCCAACAUGUCAAUUACAGAAAGUAAACUUGUUCAGCAGCUCUUCAGCGGGCAACACAU